rnacentral:lncRNA from 1 species
AUGGGAGAACCUUUGCCACCUUUCUCGGAGCAGUAUUAUAGGAUGACUGAUUCUGUUCCAGAGACGUGUACAGAUGCUGAACUGUGUCAUACAUUAUAUAGGUUACAGCUUGUAUCUUCAACUGGGCCCCGAAAUCUAUUGACAGCCAACAAACUGCUUUGGAGAAACAUAAGGCUACCCUGAACAAUGUGGGAUUGGAUGGGAGAAUUUGUCCGAAAUUAUAUUUGGUUCUCAGAUGUCAAUUUGAGGAAGGUAAGUGGAGGAAAGUUUCUUUGUUAGAUUCAAAAGCGACUUCUGAAACUACAGAGAACAAAAUAAGUUUCUGAGAAAAGAAAGGAACAGGAUAUUUUCACAGGUUUCCUUAAAUUAUGUUAGGGUUACUGUGCAUAUAGCCUUCUGAUCAAAAUUGCAUAAAAUUCAUGUAUUCAUUCUGAUGCUAUUGUCCAACAUUUCUGUGCAAUAUAAAAACAACGUGUUAGCAAAUAAACAUGCAAAAAUAACUACAAUGGAUUCUAUUUCAAAAGUUGACAUGUCAAGUUAUGGCUAGGAUUUCUCUGCCCACACAUAAUUUACACAUGCACCCUGUCUCUCCCUGUCCAUAUUGCAAGAAAGCAUUUGAACUUGCAUUUAACAUCAACAAAAGUACAGUUGAAGGUGGUGGUUAUCUAUUAAUUCCUGCAUGAACUGAUUAUUUGUAGGACUGCCUGUCUCUAGUUGUAUUGUUCCAUUCCAUGCCCUCUGUCCUAUAAAUCAUUUGGCUGGACCCAGGAAGAAUACCACUUCCAUGGCAAUGCCUGGCUCUCGAAUGAUCUUCCCUGAGAUUCAGUUGGUCCUGAUUCUGCUAGCUUUUCACAAGGCAUUAAAAUACUGGUUUUCAGGCUGGGAUGUUAGAUGUGUCCACUUUGGGAGAUGGUAUGGUGUGGGAUAACAGCCAGAUUGUAUGUUUUGUUGUUAUUGUUGACUACAGUUAACCAUGUCUUUUUAGCUGUUCCUUGGCAAGUUGACAGCCUUAUAAAUUGAUUAAAUAUAUCCUCCUCCUUAGAACUUGAAUAACUUUAUUGUCACUUUGAAUAUGCACCAAUUGGCAUACAUUAAAAUGAAAUUGCAUUGCAUGCAGCUCCCAAAGGAUCACUAUGUCCAAUCUCCUCCUCCUCUUCCUCCGCCUUUGAUAACAGAGAAGGCUUUAACUUUUCCUACUUCUAUUUCAAUGACCCAUGAUACCUUCCCAUACUCCAUGCUUAAUAUCUAGACAUAGUAUCAUGCUAUGUAUUCCAGUAAUAGCUUGGUCCUCCUAUCCCACCUCAUGGGAAGUUAAAGUAUUAAUCUAAUGCAAUUUUGAGGAGGAUGAGAUGGAAUGUCAAAAUCAUACUUAUUGCUAAUAUAUGGAAUCUCAUUGAUUUACUGAAAUGAAAUCCCUAUUCAAAUUAAUCCCAUUGAUGUUCUCUUUAGAGUCCCAGAAUAUACAGUAGCAGCAAAAUAUACUGUCAUCAAUGUAAGUCGUGAUUGAUGAAGCACUUUUUUUCAAAAUAACUAAUAUUGGGUUUUUUUUGUUGAUUUUAUGCUGAUUCUAUCUAAUAAAGAACAACUUGUCUCAGUGUACAAAUGGACCGGGUUUUUUUUUUAGUCCAGUAAUAAAAAGUACAAAUCCAGCCUGUGAACUUAUAAAUCUUUUUUUGAUGUGGCCUUACAUUACUGAAGUUUAAAUGC